UGGUGACGACGUGGAACAUACAAAUAC
rnacentral:sRNA from 1 species